GAUCAUGGCUCAGGAUGAACGCUGGCGGCGUGCUUAACACAUGCAAGUCGAACGGAGUGCUCAUGACAGAGGAUUCGUCCAAUGGAUUGAGUUACUUAGUGGCGGACGGGUGAGUAACGCGUGAGUAACCUGCCUUGGAGUGGGGAAUAACACAGUGAAAAUUGUGCUAAUACCGCAUAAUGCAGUUGGGUCGCAUGGCUCUGACUGCCAAAGAUUUAUCGCU
rnacentral:rRNA from 1 species